UAGCAACACUGGUUGAUCCUGCCAGAGGCUACUGCUAUCAGAGUUCGAUUAAGCCAUGUUAGUCGAGGGGUGGUCAUCGGAUGCUUGCAUCUGAUGGCCAAACCGGCGGACGGCUCAGUAACACGUGGACAACCUACCCUUGGGUCCGGGAUAACCCCGGGAAACUGGGGCUAAUACCGGAUGGGACAUCGCUUGCUGGAAUGCAGGAUGUCCGAAAGCUGAGGCGCCCAAGGAUGGGUCUGCGGCCGAUUAGGUAGUUGUUGAUGUAACGGAUCAACAAGCCUACGAUCGGUACGGGUUGUGAGAGCAAUAGCCCGGAGAUGGGUUCUGAGAAAAGAACCCAGGUCCUACGGGACGCAUCAGGCGCGAAAACUUUACAAUGUGCGAAAGCACGAUAAGGGAACUCUGAGUGCCUCCUAAGGAGGCUGUUCAGGUGCCUAAAAAGCACCUGGAGUAAGGGCUGGGUAAGACCGGUGCCAGCCGCCGCGGUAACACCGGCAGCCCAAGUGGUAGCCACUUUUAUUGGGUCUAAAGCGUCCGUAGCCGGUUGAGUAAGUUCCUUGGGAAAUUUGGCUGCUUAACAGUCAAGCUUCCAGGGAAUACUGCUCGACUUGGGACUGGGAGAGGUCAGAGGUACUCCAGGGGUAGGGGUGAAAUCCGUUAAUCCCUGGGGGACCACCGGUAGCGAAGGCGUCUGACCAGACCAGGUCCGACGGUGAGGGACGAAGGCUAGGGUCGCGAACCGGAUUAGAUACCCGGGUAGUCCUAGCAGUAAACGAUGCGGGCUAGGUGUUGGCAUCACUGCGAGUGGUGCCAGUGCCGAAGGGAAGCCGUUAAGCCCGCCAUCUGGGGAGUACGGUCGCAAGGCUGAAACUUAAAGGAAUUGGCGGGGGAGCACCACAACGGGUGGAGCCUGCGGUUCAAUUGGAUUCAACGCCGGAAAACUCACCGGAGGAGACAGCGAGAUGAAGGUCAGGCUGAAGACCUUACCAGAUUAGCUGAGAGGUGGCGCAUGGCCGUCGGCAGUUCGUGCUGUGAAGCAUCCUGUUAAGUCAGGCAACGGGCGAGACCCGCGCUCACAGUUGCCAGCAUCUCCACAAGGAGGAUGGGCACUCUGUGAGGACCGCCACCGCUAAGGUGGAGGAAGGAGCGGGCCACGGUAGGUCAGUAUGCCCCGAAUCCUCCGGGCUACACGCGUGCUACAAUGGGUAGUACAAUGGGUACCGACCCCGAAAGGGGAAGGAAAUCCCCUAAAGCUACCCUAAGUUGGGAUCGAGGGCUGCAACUCGCCCUCGUGAACCCGGAAUCCGUAGUAAUCGCCCCUCAAAAUGGGGCGGUGAAUAUGUCCCUGCUCCUUGCACACACCGCCCGUCAAGCCAGCCGAGUGGGGUUCAGGUGAGGACAUCCUUAUUGGGGUGUUCGAACCUGAGCCUCGCAAGGGGGGCUAAGUCGUAACAAGGUAGCCGUAGAGGAAUCUGCGGCUGGAUCACCUCCUAA
rnacentral:rRNA from 2 species